GUUUGCACUUGUCGGGGAAGGGUGAGAACCUUCGAUUAAGGUUCGACUCGAGCGAAAGCGAGAGAACGUUGCCAACGGCAACGGCCCGUAGGGUGAUGAUCGAAGCGACGAAUAAUCCUUCCCCCACCACCA
rnacentral:sRNA from 1 species